rnacentral:rRNA from 1 species
UUAAAUUGAAGAGUUUGAUCAUGGCUCAGAUUGAACGCUGGCGGCAGGCUUAACACAUGCAAGUCGAACGGUAACAUGAGUGCUUGCACUUGAUGACGAGUGGCGGACGGGUGAGUAAAGUAUGGGGAUCUGCCGAAUGGAGGGGGACAACAGUUGGAAACGACUGCUAAUACCGCAUAAAGUUGAGAGACCAAAGCAUGGGACCUUCGGGCCAUGCGCCAUUUGAUGAACCCAUAUGGGAUUAGCUAGUAGGUGGGGUAAAGGCUCACCUAGGCGACGAUCUCUAGCUGGUCUGAGAGGAUGGCCAGCCACACUGGAACUGAGACACGGUCCAGACUCCUACGGGAGGCAGCAGUGGGGAAUAUUGCACAAUGGGGGGAACCCUGAUGCAGCCAUGCCGCGUGUAUGAAGAAGGCCUUCGGGUUGUAAAGUACUUUCGGUGAUGAGGAAGGUGUUGUAUCUAAUAGGUGCAACAAUUGACGUUAAUUACAGAAGAAGCACCGGCUAACUCCGUGCCAGCAGCCGCGGUAAUACGGAGGGUGCGAGCGUUAAUCGGAAUGACUGGGCGUAAAGGGCAUGUAGGCGGAUAAUUAAGUUAGGUGUGAAAGCCCUGGGCUCAACCUAGGAAUUGCACUUAAAACUGGUUAACUAGAGUAUUGUAGAGGAAGGUAGAAUUCCACGUGUAGCGGUGAAAUGCGUAGAGAUGUGGAGGAAUACCGGUGGCGAAGGCGGCCUUCUGGACAGAUACUGACGCUGAGAUGCGAAAGCGUGGGGAGCAAACAGGAUUAGAUACCCUGGUAGUCCACGCUGUAAACGAUGUCGAUUUGGAGUUUGUUGCCUAGAGUGAUGGGCUCCGAAGCUAACGCGAUAAAUCGACCGCCUGGGGAGUACGGCCGCAAGGUUAAAACUCAAAUGAAUUGACGGGGGCCCGCACAAGCGGUGGAGCAUGUGGUUUAAUUCGAUGCAACGCGAAGAACCUUACCUGGUCUUGACAUCCACAGAAUCCUGUAGAGAUAUGGGAGUGCCUUCGGGAACUGUGAGACAGGUGCUGCAUGGCUGUCGUCAGCUCGUGUUGUGAAAUGUUGGGUUAAGUCCCGCAACGAGCG